rnacentral:rRNA from 1 species
GACGAACGCUGGCGGCGUGCUUAACACAUGCAAGUCGAGCGGUAAGGCCCUUUCGGGGGUACACGAGCGGCGAACGGGUGAGUAACACGUGGGUGACCUGCCCUCAGCUCUGGGAUAAGCCUGGGAAACCGGGUCUAAUACUGGAUAUGACUCCAUGACGCAUGUUGUGGGGUGGAAAGCCUUGUGCGGCUGAGGAUGGGCCCGCGGCCCAUCAGCUUGUUGGUGGGGUGANGGCCUACCAAGGCGACGACGGGUAGCCGGCCUGAGAGGGCGACCGGCCACACUGGGACUGAGGCACGGCCCAGACUCCUACGGGAGGCAGCAGUGGGGAAUCUUGCGCAAUGGGCGAAAGCCUGACGCAGCGACGCCGCGUGAGGGAUGACGGCCU